UACGGAGGGUGCAAGCGUUGUUCGGAAUCAUUGGGCGUAAAGCGCGUGUAGGCGGCUAGGCAAGUCGGUUGUGAAAGCCCGGGGCCCAACCCCGGAACUGCAUCUGAAACUGCCUGGCUAGAGUCCCGGAGAGGAAGGCAGAAUUCCCGGUGUAGGGGUGAAAUCCGUAGAUAUCGGGAGGAAUACCAGCGGCGAAGGCGGCCUUCUGGACGGUGACUGACGCUGAGACGCGAAAGCGUGGGGAUCAAACGGG
rnacentral:rRNA from 1 species